rnacentral:sRNA from 1 species
GGUUUGCGUGAGCGAUUGUAGUGAAAAUCCUUUUGCGGAGUUUACGAAGCAAAAGAUUGCAACGGAAAGCGCGGCCCGCA